AUUGAACGCUGGCGGCAGGCCUAACACAUGCAAGUCGAACGAGUGGCGGACGGGUGAGUAAUGUCUGGGAAACUGCCCGAUGGAGGGGGAUAACUACUGGAAACGGUAGCUAAUACCGCAUACCAUCGGAUGUGCCCAGAUGGGAUUAGCUAGUAGGUGGGGUAACGGCUCACCAAGGCGACGAUCCCUAGCUGGUCUUAGAGGAUGACCAGCCACACUGGAACUGAGACACGUUCCAGACUCCUACGGGAGGCAGCAGUGGGGAAGAGUGGACAAUGGGGGAAAGCCUGAUCCAGCCAUGCCGCGUGUAUGAAGAAGGCCUUCGGGUUGUAAAGUACUUUCAGCAGGGAGGCGUGACCCGCAGAAGAAGCACCGGCUAACUCCGUGCCAGCAGCCGCGGUAAUUC
rnacentral:rRNA from 1 species